ensembl:lncRNA
GGCUUUUGUAGAAAGUGAUACAGUUCUUAUUUCUCCUGGUCUGCUCUCAGGUCGUGCUGCUGUUGUGCAUCUGAGUGCCAGUGCUAGAAAUGAAAAGGUUCAAAGAAUUGUGACACCAAGGAAAGGCCCAAAGCUGCACUCUGCUCCUGACAGUUUCUCUUCACAGCACCAUUUUCCUCUGAGCAUGUUCCAGUGUCUCUGCACUCCCUGCCCACUGCAGCAGCUGGGGCCAGCCAAAGCAGGCUCGCCUAGCCUGGUGUUCCUGCUGGGAGCUUCUCACAGCACGAGCAACCUCCUCUCCCGCACAUCACAGGUGUUCUCCACAUGAUGGGAGCAGGUGUGCAGGGCCAGGCAGCAAAGCCUUUUGGGAACGUGCUCAGAGUCACACCAAGGAUCUGCUGGGCAAAGAGGAGCACCAACAGAUUCAGCAUUGCCUGUGGUUCCCUUGUUCCCUGCAUCCCUUCCCAGCAAAGACACGGCGUGGCAGAGCCCUGACCCCAGGUGUUGGCUCCCCUCUGCAAUCGUGCCUGAUUGAGCAUUACCAGGAAAUGCAGAAAUGUGGAGCCAGACUGGUACUGAGCAGUACAAGACUGAAGAUCUUUCUGUUAGUGGGUCUCACUCAGCACCAUCAGCUGAUAUCGCUUAAAGAGGUGCCGAUUCGCUGCAAAGCACAGGUGGAGAUAAAAAGGCUUUCUCUGGGAGCCAAGCAGCACGGAGGAGCUGGAGCCUUGGCAGGAGCAGGAGGUGCCCCAAGCAGCUCUGCAAGGAGUGAGUGCCCUCACUGCUCUGUCACCAGCAGUCCCUGGGAGCCAUCAGCACCCACCAGCCAUUCCCUGAGAUAAGGCCAAGCCAGCUGGGAGGAGAAUGCCUUUGAUAUUCUUGCCUUGCUGAGUUCACUCAUAUUGUAAUUUGCAAAUGGCAUGGCAAAUGUCACGAGAGCAGCUGGUGAAGAUGACUCAGAAGCAAUGACAAGAAUGUGCUGCAAAGUUGGGUCCAGCAGUUCAGCUUCCCGACAUGGUAGGGCAGACACACCUUUUGAUAAAGCAUCAAACACUGUAGUUUUUACUCUUUGUGUUUGUCUGAUGACCCCUUGAAGUAUUAUUUUUCAAAAUGAUAUCUAGGAGAGAAAUCAUGUUUAUUCAGGGGGAGCCAUAAUUUUCAUCUGUUCCAAAUGCACCAGGUGUGUUUUAAGCCCUGCACAUACGGCAAGAGCUGCAGAGUUUGUAGUGCAGUUUACUGCAGCACUGAUUUAUUCUGUAUUCCAGUAACCAUUCCCUGGGGUGCCAGCUAGGCUCAAUACCAGGAGCAGGAGAAGCAGACCCGAGAGAUGCUUUGGGCGGAGCCCAGCCAGGUUUCAGGCAGCCUGCAAAGUCUGCCCUUGCAGUACACACCAGUCUGCUGUUGCCAUCUGCUGGAAAAAUCCCUAAUGGAUAUUUCCAAACGUGGGGAGGAGUGUCUGUUCCUGUCACAGAACUGCUGGGGGCUCUUUGCCCUCUAGCUCCGUGCGAUCUGCCCAAGAACAGCGUGUGCACCAGGCUGUUACCGCUCUCUGCAGGGUGAAGCACCUUCAGCCAAGGUCAGUGCAAGAGCAAAACAAUCCUGCCAACAAAACCUGCUACUAGAGAGGCAAACAUUUAUCCUUCCAAAAUAAUUCAUCCUUCUUCUCCCUUACAACUCUUCUGUUUCAUCACCCCACAGAAUGGUUUGGGAUGGAAGAGGCCUUGAAAACGACCUAGUUCCACCCCUGUCCUGGGCAGGGUCACCUUCCUCUCGGCCAGGAUGCUGUGCUGUCACAGAUCAGGUGACAGAUCUGUGGAAAUUGUAAUGAUAUUAUUAAGGUGUGUCUCUUAGUGCCUUGCCAUUCGUGAAGCCCGAGGCUUCACUUGUCCUAGUUUAGCUUUCUGAUGUGGAGGAGCUGAACUGCCAGCUGAUAUGGAAUUUGGUGCUCUCUGUGGAGUGACAUCCUGUAAAAUUUCUGUCCCAGAAAUUCUGUCAUGAUGGCUCUGCUCCAUAAAGAAUGAAACGGCCUGACUGUCAGCAAUUUUUACUUCUGCAAUAGUGUAAAAGUGCUAAAAUUUGAGCACUGCUUAUUAUUUUAAAAUAAAAUAUUUUAAAACUUGAAGUGAUAGCUAAAA